rnacentral:lncRNA from 1 species
UGACCAUGACGAGAUCAUGGAUCCAUAUAAUGAUGCAUCUCUCUCUUUGAUAGAACAAAUACAUAAAAAUAAUUUAGAAAAGGUCUUCAAUACAUUAAUUAGAAUGAAACUUAUUUAAUAUAAACAGAGAAGACAUUCUAAAGACUGGUGCUACUUCAUGCAUGACUUGACCCUUGUAACUGUCAUAAAAAGAAAAAUGACAUUGUAAAUACAUGUCAACAACUAUAAACUCUUUAAACGAGGUGAAAAUUCAAUGUAUUUCUUUAAAAAUAAUCAUCAUAUUGACAAAAACAUAUUGCGAUUUAGCCAACUUACAAAACCAUAACCAAACAGGAAAGAGUAAAGCUCUAUUCAACCCUUUAUCAAUAUAUACAUCAACAUGACUGUGAAGCUAUGCUCCACUCCUUAAUAUAUACACUUGGGCAGAAAAAACACAUCUCAUUCUAGUAGAACUAAGUUUUACCAGAUCAGAUAUUCUGAUGCUUUUGAUGUGUAAUCAAAUUCUCAACUUUGCUUUAUGCUAGUUGGUGCUAGCUGAUCAAACUACAUAUAGAAAAAAACUAUAACACCCUACCCCUAAUCUACAAAAAUAUCAGGAAGACACGCAGAGAGGGAACACCAAAAUGUUUUGCCAUGGUACAAUAUGGUGGAUGGGAACCAUGCAUCAAGUAAACAACAACAGGUUCAUAUUUAUAUCUAUUAGUGACAGAACUUAACAGGGUCACACACCAGUGUGUUGCCUAUGUAUUAAGAACACACCACACAAAAUUAGUUAUCAUAUCAAUCAAAGAUACAUACAUGUCCCCUAACAAAUCAAAGCUAGAACCUAUUGUAGCAACAAGAACAUAUAUGUACAUAUUGUAAUAUGUAGUCAGACUAGUAAUAUAACAAAAAUAAUGCAUGAUAUGCAAAAUUGAGUUAGGAUAUGUAGUUAACCUUAGGUAUACCUGCUAAGCCAUCUCGUCCCUCAACCACAUCAAUGCAGCUGCUCUAUCAUCACUGCACGCACUCAAGAAAAUUUGUCGAUUGUCAGGGUCCUUGAACACCCUUAUAGGCUUCGGCCUUCUCCCUAUGUGACCUCCAAUGUGUUUAGAAUUACUAUGCAAUUCUUAUUUGAGUGCACAAUAAAGUCAAAAAUUAAAUGUGAGAUGAAUAAAACAAAACAACACUUAAAUAUUCAUGUAAAUGCAGAGUUGCAGGUAAAUGAGCACUUGUGUACGACUACAUAUAUAAUAUAAAUGGGUACAAACUAUUAGAGUGAGUGUUCAGACUAUUUAAGUGUUCAUGCUAUUUAUUUUCACAAGUAGCAAUAAUAAGUGUUCUAACUUCAGACUAUACUAUUUAUUUUCAGAAACAACAAAUAUUGAGAAAAACUUGAUAUACUAUAAAUUCAGACUUUAGACUUCAGCUAUUUAUGUUCAAUAUUGACACUAGAACUUCACAUAUGCAGACUAGGCAGAAUUUGCUGCUAGUUAUAUGCUUGUUAUACUAAAACUGAUGUAUGAAUGACCUGAUGAUCACCAGCGCGACCCCCCGUUUCAGCUUCUAUUUAUAUAAUAAUAAGUGGCGCCUUGUUUACAAGAAGUCAAGAAUAGGCCAUGCGUUCAAGAUGGACAAAAAGAUCUCAGGUAUAUAAGAACAACUACUGUUUAUACUUACUAUGCCACCAUACUUACCAGACUUGUACUACAAGUUACAUCCGUUGAUGUAUUGACUAGUGACCACAACUGAGGCGUAACUUUUCUAUGAGCCGAUAGUACGUACAACUGUUAACUGAAAACAACAUCCCUUGAAAGCAGAGACGCCGUGCAUAAUGUUUUGCUCCGGCGCAAGUCAACAUGACUGUGUAGAGGUGCUCAAUUGCUAUAUUACAGUGCUCAGUAGAAUCUUCAUGGCAAGUUAUAGUAGUAACAGAGUUGAUUUGUCCUUGCAUGUAACAAUUCAUUUGCAAGUUCACAACAGUCCAUCCAUGUCCCAUUUCACAAAGAAGUUAACUUGUUCAAUAGCAGACUAGCACACUAUGUUUGUGUUUUGACCAGUUUUGUCACUCUCUCCUUCAAUAAUUGCAAUUACCAAAGCGACAGGACGUGAACCAUGCAAGGAUUUCAAUGAAUUAUGCAGAAUGUGAACUGCACAGAUCCAAUCGUGCACUGCAUCUGGACGACGCUGGUCCCUGCCACGGCCUCAGUCCACUACAUCUAGGAAAGCCACCCUAUCCACAUGGCCAUAGACCCAGGGCUAUUCCACUACUAGAUCCAAGAAGAGACGCAAGAACGAAGAACCCUAAACACACUAGUUGAGACUUAAGACAUGCCAGAAGAAAAAUACCGGUGAGAAGCGGCCACCGGAGGAGAUCAACGCUAGAGAGAAUCUUGUGUCCGUGUCACCGCCGUCGCUUGCCCUUCGCGUGUGGCGUGUGUCUG